UCUGGACACUAAAUAAUUAUUAACUGACAUGUUGCACUUAAUAGUUUGUGGUCUCAGCUCUUGUUUAUAUAAAACGUUUGACCACAGCUCUAAAACACCUCACCAUGUAGGUGGGGAACUUGUCAUAGGAACUCAGAUGGUAGGACCCGUUGACUGGUUACUGCUAGCCCUUGGCAGCUUUGUCCUCACUUGCUGCCACCCCCCCUCCCCGCCAGGGCCCUGCAACAGACACUAGGUGCUCCUAUUUAGAGUUGGUCAUGGGUAAGGAAAAGAUAGAUUUGGCCACAGUCUCUCAAUACAUAGAGACACUUUAUGUAGAAAAAUCUCUUGAACCUAUUAGGAGUACUGCAUGAGCAAAAAGUGACUCAUGACCAGAUAUUUCUGAGGAUGGCAAAGGGGCAAGUGAGAGAAGCUGGAUUAAGUUAUUCCCCAGUGAAGAAUAUUACUUGUGUUAACAAAGCGUAAAUUUUCUGACACGUGACUUGCAAAGGAAAAUGCUAUUGAUUAGCUGAAGAACUCCUGAAGAUUGUAGCAAAACUUUAAUAGUGUAAUAAUCUUUGAAGAUUUUUUGAAAGAACACAUACAGAACAAGAGAAAGGAAGUUCUCCCAAGUUUGACUCAGGCCCUUCAGCAUAUGAAACCAGCAUACCAGAUGACCACGUAUGAUCCAGUGUUGUCAAAGGAGAAGCUGAGGAGGUGUUAGACUUCUUGGUUGCAAGUGGUGGCUGGGCUGCUACUGGACGUGCUGAGUGUGGUUCAACACCAUCUGAUGGUGUCAUGAUGAUACGGGAGGACGGCAGGGAAGUGCUGGGAGGAGAAGGUCCCUGGUGAGGGCUCCAGCCCUGGGCCUGGGCCCAGGGACAUAGGUAAGGACAGGCACUCCUGCCUUAGCGUCCAAAUGUUGCAUUUCCCAAGACCACCCUGGCCCGCCAUGCCCCAUCCUGUACCUGUGAAAACCCCGAGACCUUAGUGGGCACAGACACAAGCAGCUGGACAUUGACAGGAACACACCGGCGGAAGAAGACACAAGCGGCUGGAUGUCGAGAGGAACGUACCGGCGUAAGAGCACAUUGACAGCCCCAGCAGACUGGCAGGCCAUCAACUGGCAGAACGACACUAAGUUUGGCCAGGGUGGUCGGAGGAGAGCCUGGCCCUGAGUGGACCGACUCGAGGGGAAAACCACCUUCCCACUCCAUCUCCCUUCUGGCUCCCCCAUGGGCUGAGGGCUACUUCCACUGAAUAAAACCUUGCACUCAUUCUCCAAGCCCAUGUGUGAUCUAAUUCUCCUGGUACACCAAGGCAAGAACCCCGGGAUACAGAAAGCUCUCUGUCCUUGCGAUAAGCCAGAGUGUCUAAUUGAGCUGGUUAACACCAGCCGCCCACCGACGGCAAAACUAAAAGAGCACUCUGUAACACACGCCCACUGGGGCUUCAGGAGCUGUAAACAUCCACCCCUAGACACUGCCGUGGGGUUGGAGCCCCA
rnacentral:lncRNA from 1 species